UACAGAGGGUGCGAGCGUUGUCCGGAAUCACUGGGCGUAAAGGGCGCGUAGGCGGCUCGGUAAGGUUGCGGUGAAAGCCCGGGGCUCAACCCCGGGUCGGCCGUGGCAACUGCUGAGCUAGAGCACUGUAGAGGCAGGUGGAAUUCCGGGUGUAGCGGUGGAAUGCGUAGAGAUCCGGAAGAACACCGGUGGCGAAGGCGGCCUGCUGGGCAGUGGCUGACGCUGAUGCGCGACAGCGUGGGGGAGCAAACAGG
rnacentral:rRNA from 1 species